rnacentral:rRNA from 1 species
UACGUAGGGUGCGAGCGUUGUCCGGAAUUAUUGGGCGUAAAGGGCUCGUAGGCGGUUUGUCGCGUCGGGAGUGAAAACACUGGGCUUAACUCAGUGCUUGCUUCCGAUACGGGCAGACUAGAGGUAUGCAGGGGAGAACGGAAUUCCUGGUGUAGCGGUGAAAUGCGCAGAUAUCAGGAGGAACACCGGUGGCGAAGGCGGUUCUCUGGGCAUGUCCUGACGCUGAGGAGCGAAAGUGUGGGGAGCAAACAGG